rnacentral:rRNA from 1 species
GACAGAGGGUGCAAACGUUGUUCGGAAUUACUGGGCGUAAAGCGAGUGUAGGCGGUUCGGUAAGUCGGAUGUGAAAGCCCCGGGCUCAACCCGGGAAGUGCACUCGAUACUGCCGAGCUAGAGUGUCGGAGAGGUUGGUGGAAUUCUCGGUGUAGAGGUGAAAUGCGCAGAUAUCAGGAGGAACACCGGUGGCGAAGGCGGGACUCUGGGCCGAUACUGACGCUGAGGAGCGAAAGCGUGGGGAGCAAACAGG